rnacentral:rRNA from 1 species
UACGGGGGGGGCAAGCGUUGUUCGGAAUUACUGGGCGUAAAGGGCUCGUAGGUGGCCAACUAAGUCAGACGUGAAAUCCCUCGGCUUAACCGGGGAACUGCGUCUGAUACUGGAUGGCUAGAGUUUGGGAGAGGGAUGCGGAAUUCCAGGUGUAGCGGUGAAAUGCGUAGAUAUCUGGAGGAACACCGGUGGCGAAGGCGGCAUCCUGGACCAGCACUGACACUCAGGCACGAAAGCGUGGGAGCAAACAGG